GAGCAGGACAGUCUUUCAGGGCCGAGGAGCUCCGCCGGCCUAACCAAGGGUUGCCCUCCAAAAAGGCAGGUGGGACAGCGUGGCAGCGGGAAGGGGUCUCCCUAGAGGGACCCUUAGGGGGUGAGCCUGACGUCUCUGCAGAGGUCAAGACGCUGCCCACAAAGCCGUUCACAGGCAAGGGCGACUUAGACUACUCCAAGCGGAAAGACGGUGUCCAGGCAUAGUUUCAGAACAGAGGUUGGCUUGAGAACAUGGAGACAUUUUAUAUCAAGAAAAUGUUUGAAGACAUGUCACCACACACAAGAGAAUUUUAGCAUUUCAGGUGCUACUCCUGUUGAAACAAGUAAUCCCAAUUCCCUUGUUGGCUUUAGUGCAUCCAGUGGUUCCCCAUUUUCUCCAGGGCAAACAUUCCAAGACCCCCAGUGGAAGCCCGAAGACAUGGAUAGUAUCCAGUUCAGCAUAUGGCAUAUGUUUUCCUGUCCACACUUGGCUAUGAGAAGGUUGACUUUAUAAAUCAGACAUCAUAAGAGAUGAACAGCGAUGACUAAUAUUGCAAUAAAGCAACUCUAACGAUA